rnacentral:snRNA from 1 species
CGGGCCUCAUGUUAUUUUCACUAUUUUUUGGAGCCGGAAAUUUAAUAUUCCCGCCCAUGCUCGGCCAUACAGCGGGUCAAAAUAUGUGGAUUGG